rnacentral:lncRNA from 1 species
AGGAGAAUGGCGUGAACCCGAGAGGCGGAGCUUGCAGUGAGCCGAGAUUGCGCCACUGCACUCCAGCCUGGGCGACAGAGCGAGACUCCGUCUCAAAAAAAAAAAAAAAAAAAGAAAACCGCCAAAAAAAAAAAAAAGGAACAAAAUAUGCAAGAACUGUGGGAUCACAGUUUUUAUAAUCCCACAAGGAUUAUGGAGACAUAAUGGGAAUACUAAAAGCAGAAAGAAAGGAACAGAAGAAACACUUGACAUAAUAAUGACUUGGGAUUUUUCAAAACUAAAGACAGACACUGAGCCACAGAUUCAGGAAGCUCACAGAACACCCAGCAGGAUAAAUACUCUUAGUCCACCUCAAUAAUCUUGUAUGUGAGCUGGGAUGAAAGACUGCAAACCCCUCCUUGGUCUACUAGAUCACAGUUAAGCUAUGGCAAAGAGGAUUACUUGGUCUGGAGAAUGUAAAAAGGACUUGCUUCUACCUGCCAGCUUUAUCACAGCACUAUUUCUCCGUCCUAACAGGGAUCCUUGAUUCUAAUAGUAGCAUAGGGUUCCAUUUUGCAGUUUUUUUCAACCUGAUUUCCCUCACGAUGGCCCAUCAAAGUUCCCUCUGCCAGCCACCUAGUGCCCUACCGCCUUGAGUCUGAGGUUUCCAGAUACUUUCCUCUAAGCCACAAAGUUUUAGUAAUCCUAACUUCUGUUCAUCCUUCCAAUCCUAGGUGUAGAAACUGCUUCUUCAGUUAUUGCAAAAAUGCAAUGUCCAUUUUUGUUUAUUUUGCUUUUUUCCCUUAUAGUUUCUAAUGCCCUGGUAAACAAGAUAUUUUAUAAAAUUU